rnacentral:rRNA from 1 species
GUUAAGCGACUAAGCGUACACGGUGGAUGCCCUGGCAGUCAGAGGCGAUGAAGGACGUGCUAAUCUGCGAUAAGCGUCGGUGAGGUGAUAUGAACCGUUAUAACCGGCGAUUUCCGAAUGGGGAAACCCAGUGUGUUUCGACACACUAUCAUUAACUGAAUCCAUAGGUUAAUGAGGCGAACCGGGGGAACUGAAACAUCUAAGUACCCCGAGGAAAAGAAAUCAACCGAGAUUCCCCCAGUAGCGGCGAGCGAACGGGGAGGAGCCCAGAGCCUGAAUCAGUGUGUGUGUUAGUGGAAGCGUCUGGAAAGGCGUGCGAUACAGGGUGACAGCCCCGUACACAAAAAUGCACAUAUUGUGAGCUCGAUGAGUAGGGCGGGACACGUGGUAUCCUGUCUGAAUAUGGGGGGACCAUCCUCCAAGGCUAAAUACUCCUGACUGACCGAUAGUGAACCAGUACCGUGAGGGAAAGGCGAAAAGAACCCCGGCGAGGGGAGUGAAAAAGAACCUGAAACCGUGUACGUACAAGCAGUGGGAGCCUCUUUAUGGGGUGACUGCGUACCUUUUGUAUAAUGGGUCAGCGACUUAUAUUCUGUAGCAAGGUUAACCGAAUAGGGGAGCCGAAGGGAAACCGAGUCUUAACUGGGCGUUAAGUUGCAGGGUAUAGACCCGAAACCCGGUGAUCUAGCCAUGGGCAGGUUGAAGGUUGGGUAACACUAACUGGAGGACCGAACCGACUAAUGUUGAAAAAUUAGCGGAUGACUUGUGGCUGGGGGUGAAAGGCCAAUCAAACCGGGAGAUAGCUGGUUCUCCCCGAAAGCUAUUUAGGUAGCGCCUCGUGAAUUCAUCUCCGGGGGUAGAGCACUGUUUCGGCAAGGGGGUCAUCCCGACUUACCAACCCGAUGCAAACUGCGAAUACCGGAGAAUGUUAUCACGGGAGACACACGGCGGGUGCUAACGUCCGUCGUGAAGAGGGAAACAACCCAGACCGCCAGCUAAGGUCCCAAAGUCAUGGUUAAGUGGGAAACGAUGUGGGAAGGCCCAGACAGCCAGGAUGUUGGCUUAGAAGCAGCCAUCAUUUAAAGAAAGCGUAAUAGCUCACUGGUCGAGUCGGCCUGCGCGGAAGAUGUAACGGGGCUAAACCAUGCACCGAAGCUGCGGCAGCGACACUAUGUGUUGUUGGGUAGGGGAGCGUUCUGUAAGCCUGUGAAGGUGGCCUGUGAGGGUUGCUGGAGGUAUCAGAAGUGCGAAUGCUGACAUAAGUAACGAUAAAGCGGGUGAAAAGCCCGCUCGCCGGAAGACCAAGGGUUCCUGUCCAACGUUAAUCGGGGCAGGGUGAGUCGACCCCUAAGGCGAGGCCGAAAGGCGUAGUCGAUGGGAAACAGGUUAAUAUUCCUGUACUUGGUGUUACUGCGAAGGGGGGACGGAGAAGGCUAUGUUGGCCGGGCGACGGUUGUCCCGGUUUAAGCGUGUAGGCUGGUUUUCCAGGCAAAUCCGGAAAACCAAGGCUGAGGCGUGAUGACGAGGCACUACGGUGCUGAAGCGACAAAUGCCCUGCUUCCAGGAAAAGCCUCUAAGCAUCAGGUAACAUCAAAUCGUACCCCAAACCGACACAGGUGGUCAGGUAGAGAAUACCAAGGCGCUUGAGAGAACUCGGGUGAAGGAACUAGGCAAAAUGGUGCCGUAACUUCGGGAGAAGGCACGCUGAUAUGUAGGUGAAGCGACUUGCUCGUGGAGCUGAAAUCAGUCGAAGAUACCAGCUGGCUGCAACUGUUUAUUAAAAACACAGCACUGUGCAAACACGAAAGUGGACGUAUACGGUGUGACGCCUGCCCGGUGCCGGAAGGUUAAUUGAUGGGGUUAGCGGUAACGCGAAGCUCUUGAUCGAAGCCCCGGUAAACGGCGGCCGUAACUAUAACGGUCCUAAGGUAGCGAAAUUCCUUGUCGGGUAAGUUCCGACCUGCACGAAUGGCGUAAUGAUGGCCAGGCUGUCUCCACCCGAGACUCAGUGAAAUUGAACUCGCUGUGAAGAUGCAGUGUACCCGCGGCAAGACGGAAAGACCCCGUGAACCUUUACUAUAGCUUGACACUGAACAUUGAGCCUUGAUGUGUAGGAUAGGUGGGAGGCUUUGAAGUGUGGACGCCAGUCUGCAUGGAGCCGACCUUGAAAUACCACCCUUUAAUGUUUGAUGUUCUAACGUUGGCCCGUAAUCCGGGUUGCGGACAGUGUCUGGUGGGUAGUUUGACUGGGGCGGUCUCCUCCUAAAGAGUAACGGAGGAGCACGAAGGUUGGCUAAUCCUGGUCGGACAUCAGGAGGUUAGUGCAAUGGCAUAAGCCAGCUUGACUGCGAGCGUGACGGCGCGAGCAGGUGCGAAAGCAGGUCAUAGUGAUCCGGUGGUUCUGAAUGGAAGGGCCAUCGCUCAACGGAUAAAAGGUACUCCGGGGAUAACAGGCUGAUACCGCCCAAGAGUUCAUAUCGACGGCGGUGUUUGGCACCUCGAUGUCGGCUCAUCACAUCCUGGGGCUGAAGUAGGUCCCAAGGGUAUGGCUGUUCGCCAUUUAAAGUGGUACGCGAGCUGGGUUUAGAACGUCGUGAGACAGUUCGGUCCCUAUCUGCCGUGGGCGCUGGAGAACUGAGGGGGGCUGCUCCUAGUACGAGAGGACCGGAGUGGACGCAUCACUGGUGUUCGGGUUGUCAUGCCAAUGGCACUGCCCGGUAGCUAAAUGCGGAAGAGAUAAGUGCUGAAAGCAUCUAAGCACGAAACUUGCCCCGAGAUGAGUUCUCCCUGACUCCUUGAGA